UACGUAGGGUCCGAGCGUUGUCCGGAUUUAUUGGGCGUAAAGAGCUCGUAGGCGGUUCCGUAAGUCAGAUGUGAAAACUCAGGGCUCAACCCGGAGACGCCAUCUGAUACUGCGGUGACUGGAGUCUGGUAGGGGAACACGGAAUUCCUGGUGUAGCGGUGGAAUGCGCAGAUAUCAGGAGGAACACCGGUGGCGAAGGCGGGAUCCUGGGCCAGUACUGACGCUGAGGAGCGAAAGCGUGGGGAGCAAACAGG
rnacentral:rRNA from 1 species